UUUAUAAGUGGUGAAGUGGGGACGAAGAAGGCUAGGUGAGCCAGGCGUUGGUUGUCCUGGUACUUGCAUGUAGGGGGGAAGACUUGGCAAAUCCGGUUUUCCAUAACUCUGAGGUGCGAAGUGGUUCUGACCUUUUGGUACAGAGAAGUCAUUGAUGCCCGGCUUCCAGGAAAAGCUGCUAGCCAUAACUUAUAGAGAACCGUACCGCAAACCGACACAGGUGGACAGGUAGAGAAUACUAAGGCGCUUGAGAGAACUCGGGUGAAGGAACUAGGCAAAAUGGUACCGUAACU
rnacentral:rRNA from 1 species